AUCUUGGAGAGUUUGAUCCUGGCUCAGGACGAACGCUGGCGGCGUGCUUAACACAUGCAAGUCGAACGAAGAGC
rnacentral:rRNA from 1 species